rnacentral:tRNA from 1 species
AGCCGCCAUGGUGAAAUUGGUAGACACGCUGCUCUUAGGAAGCAGUGCUCAAGCAUCUCGGUUCGAGUCCGAGUGGCGGC